UACGUAGGGUGCAAGCGUUGUCCGGAAUUAUUGGGCGUAAAGAGCUUGUAGGCGGUUUGUCGCGUCUGCUGUGAAAUUUCGGGGCUCAACCCCGAACUUGCAGUGGGUACGGGCAGACUAGAGUCAGGUAGGGGAGAACGGAAUUCCUGGUGUAGCGGUGAAAUGCGCAGAUAUCAGGAGGAACACCGGUGGCGAAGGCGGUUCUCUGGGCCUGUACUGACGCUGAGGAACGAAAGCGUGGGGAGCGAACAGG
rnacentral:rRNA from 1 species